CCUACGGGGGGCUGCAGUGGGGAAUCUUGCGCAAUGGACGAAAGUCUGACGCAGCCACGCCGCGUGAGUGAAGAAGGCCUUCGGGUUGUAAAGCUCUGUCGUACGGGACGAACAUCACUACAGUUAACAGCCGUAGUGACUGACGGUACCGUAGAAGGAAGCACCGGCUAACUUCGUGCCAGCAGCCGCGGUAAUACGAGGGGUGCAAGCGUUGCUCGGAAUUAUUGGGCGUAUAUCGUUUGUCUGUUGUGAAAUCCCCGAGCGUAACUUGGGAAGUGCCUUAGAAACGGCGAGACUAGAGUUCUAUAGAGGGUAGUGGAAUUCCCGGUGUAGCGGUGAAAUGCGUAGAGAUCGGGAGGAACAUCAGAGGCGAAGGCGACUACCUGGAGAGAUACUGACACUAAAGCACGAAAGCGUGGGGAGCAAACAGGAUUAGAUACCCUAGUAGUC
rnacentral:rRNA from 1 species